rnacentral:rRNA from 1 species
AUUGAACGCUGGCGGCAAGCCUAACACAUGCAAGUCGAACGAGUGGCGGACGGGUGAGUAAUGUCUGGGAAACUGCCUGAUGGAGGGGGAUAACUACUGGAAACGGUAGCUAAUACCGCAUACCAUCGGAUGUGCCCAGAUGGGAUUAGCUAGUUGGUGGGGUAAAGGCUCACCUAGGCGACGAUCCCUAGCUGGGCUGAAAGGAUGACCAGCCACAAGGGAACUGAGACACGGUCAAGACUCCUACGGGAGGCAGCAGUGGGGAAUAUUGCACAAUGGGCGCAAGCCUAAGACAGCCAUGCCGCGGGUAUGAAGAAGGCCGUCGGGUUGUAAAGUACUUUCAGCGGGGAGGCGUUACCCGCAGAAGAAGCACCGGCUAACUCCGUGCCAGCAGCCGCGGUAAUAC